rnacentral:rRNA from 1 species
UGUGAGCCAGGUUGGUUUCUAUCUUUUAAAUAAUUUAAUAUUUUAGUACGAAAGGAUCAAAUAUUAUAAUUAAAUUAAUAUUAAAAGAUUAUUAUUAAUAAUAUGUGUAUAUAUUUAUUAAAUGAUUUUUA